UACGGAGGGUGCAAGCGUUGUUCGGAAUUACUGGGCGUAAAGCGUGUCUAGGCGGAAUUGUAAGUCAGAUGUGAAAGACCUGGGCUCAACCUAGGAACUGCGUCUGAAACUAUAGUUCUUGAGUGGUAGAGAGGUGAGUGGAAUACCUGGUGUAGCAGUGAAAUGCGUAGAUAUCAGGUGGAACAUCGGAGGCGAAGGCGGCUCACUGGCUACUAACUGACGCUGAAACACGAAAGUGCGGGGAUCAAAC
rnacentral:rRNA from 1 species